CUGGACUCUUGCGUCCCUGCGACUGGGAGGGACUCUCAGCACAGGGUAUGCAGUGGUGCUCAAUGCGUGCUCACAGUCACAGGCGGGGCCACGGAAGCUGAGGGAGAGCUGAGGGCAGCUGGAGCGCCCGGGACGCUGCCCUGUGAGGCCCCCGAGGUGCCAGCCUGCUCUCUACACACGGCUCGGCUUGGAGGAGGCCCAAGGUGACAUCUGGGGGCAGCGACGGGCCUCCCUGGGCUGGGACUGUGGGGGGUCCCUGCCUCCCGCUGUGGCCCGGGUGGCGGGGUCCUGCAGAGCGGCUCCUGGGCCCAGGUGUUGGGAGGGCUGGUCCCGCCUCAGCCUCAGGCGGAAGGUUUCUGAACAGCUGGGGCUUGGACUGGAUUGGGGACACGCUCCAGCGGGCACCGGGAAUGCAGGGCCAGCUGUGCGCUAGCUGAGUCCUGCCUCUCCCCAGGCCCCGAGGGCGGGAGCCGCCCGGCGGGCACACCGAGGUCAUCGGCUGGAAUGGGCUUGGCUCUGGGCUCAACGGGUAGCUGGACUGACGGGCCCUUCUGAUCACAGCCAGGGCCACAGACCAGACCCCGGGGCAGGGCCGUGUCCCCCCAGCCGACCCCGGGGCAGGGCCGUGUCCCCCAGCCGACCCCGGGGCAGGGCCCUGUCCCCCCACCUGACCCCGGGGCAGGGCCAUGUGCCCCCAGCCGACCCCGGGGCAGGGCCGUGUCCCUCCACUGGACCCCAGAGCAGGUUCUAGAUUCUGGGAGCCUGGCUUUUCUGAAUCCGCACCUCCCCCAGGUCGGGUCUGAGACCCCAGAGACCUUGGGAGUGGAGGAUGGGUGGGAUGAACGGCCCUCCCCUCGCCCCACAAAGCCUCUGGUCUCCUCACCCUCCCCAGCCUGCUGCAGCUGUGGGGUGUGGGGAGCCCCCUUGCUCACCUGGAGCAGCCCUGGGCCCCUCUGGCUGCCACGUCGCAGGGACAGAGUCCCUGUCUGCCUGGGUGGCCAUGGCAGAGGGUCUGGGUGGGGUCCAUAAAGCUGGCCUGCCCACUGGCUUUGCUCCCCGGGCUGGGCUGGGGCCUGAGGCCCCCUUGCCCUCUCGGUGCCCAAGGGCACAGGGUCAGGCUUAAGACCAGGGAAGCCUCAGCCUUUGGGCCCAGACCCAGGCUGGCCUCAGCCCCUGGGUGCGGGUGUCAGCAAGGAACACCUGGAGCUGCACUGCCGGCACCACAUGGGGAUGCAAAUGUGAACCGCCUACAGCUGAUGCAGAGUCCCCGAGACCUGAGCAGACCCUGGUCCGGGCUGUGGUCUGGAGGGGUCAUUUCUUGUGGAUGCUGGAGCAAGGGGUCAGCCAGCUAGGACUGGAGGUUGCCUGGUGCCCUCGUCCACAGCUCCCCUUGGGCUCUCUCCUGGGCACUCCCUCCCACACCUCCCUCUCCCCUGGCAUCCAUACCUGUGAGGCUGGUCUUCCCCCCAGAAAGCUGGGGGCUGCCUCUUCCCACGGUCAGCCUGAGCACUCUCCUGUGGCUCUGCCCCACUGGCCAGGGUACCCCCUUUCUGUGGCCCACACCCCUUCAAGCCCUCUGAACUCCGCCCAGGCCAUCCCGACCCUCUCAUCUGCCUGGCGACAUCCCGUUCUGCAAGACUCAAGGCUGCCACCGCCUCCUGCAGACAGCCUUCCUGGAUUGCUUGCCCAGGCCGAGGAGUCUCUGAAAGGGAAAGCAGCCCAAGGGCACAGAUGGCCCUACGAGACAGGGACCAAGGAGACAAGCUGAGGGCAGCCAGCAGCGGGGCAGGCUGACGAUGGCCCUCAUGGCAGACCUAGGCCUGACCAACCAACGUCAGAAGAGAACCUUCCAGAAGGGGAGACAGCGACCAAGAGCCCAGGGCAGAGGCAUAAGCAACUUGAGAAAAAGGCCAACGAUGGAGAAGGCUGGAUCCCACGAGCAGGGACGGGCACUGAGAGGGAGAAGCCGUCCGAGAUGCUCCUGGAGACCAGUGGUUCCUGUCGCCUUGCUUUGUGUUUCGUCCUUGCGUCCUCGCUGUCUCCAGAGGCUGAAUGUCUGAGAGCCGCUGGGGCCGGAGUGGGGCCGGAACGUGGGUCUCCUCCCUCGUCCCCACCUUGGCGUCACGGCUCCCCGUGGGCAGGGCCGCAGGAGUCCAGGAGGACAGCCCCACCGGGGGUAGCCACGCGGAGGAACGGGAGGCAGUGCCGACCUCCUCUUUCCUCCCAGGGCUGCGGGCACCCCCUGCACACCCACCGCCCUUGGGGGGCCUCAGACUCCAGAGGGGCCAGGCCGGCCCCAGAGGGCACAUGCGUGCUCAGCGUGGUGUCCGGCCCUGCAGCCACCAGGGCUCUGCAGGGCGAGCUGCUCCCAGCUGCUCCCUGCUGUCUCUCCAGGACGUCACCCCUUGCUCCUGGGUCCCAAGCCUUCUGCCCCUGCACCGCUACCCAGAAGCCACACUCGGGAGCCAGAGCCACAGAGGACCUUCCUGGGUGCCAGGCACACAGCCCUCAGACCCCCGCUGGCCCGUGGGCUGCAGGUCCCCUGAUCUUCUUGGGUCCACUGCCCUCCCCCGGACCCUGUGGUGCUGCUUGCUGACUAGCCACUGGGAGCGCCCUGCCCCUUAGACAGCUGGCCUCAGGACUGAGAUGGGGCCUCAGGCAGCCAGCCCUGUCUCACCUUUGCCCCUGGAUGCUGGCUGUAGGCCCAAGACCCACACCUCCCAGGUGGGCCUUCUCUCUCCCCCAGGCCUCUGCGUGGCCCUGUCCUGUCUCCCUCUCUCCCUAUGGACCUGGGGCACGGCCUGGAGGCCAGUCUGGGGAGGCCUGGGGAGGAGGACGUGGGCAAGCAGAACAUGCAAGGUUUGUGUAUGGGAAGCCACCGGGUCCCUGGGUGGCCUGGGGCAGCAGCAGCCAGUGGCCAUCAGGGACUUGGGGACACAGGCUUUGUGAACCAGAGCCAGAGUGUGGCCUUAGCCUGAAGGUGGGGAGCCAUUAAGUGGUUAAAGCUGUUUUUCUGGUCAUAAAUGUGCACACUCUUGUCAACUUCAAAAAAGCAGAAAGAAGAGAAGUCCCGUGUGGGUGUCUGGUGGGGCCGCUGCCUCCCUCAGUAUUCUCCCAUCGCCCGUGAAUUCCCGGAAUUCCUUCUCAAUCUCCUUUCUGGCUGGGUGCGGUCCAGAGCCCAGCACUUCUCUGAGUCCUGCCCCGUGGUCUCCAGCCUCAGGUCCUAGCCAGCCCUCUUAGCGGGCCCGUGGCCUUCUGAGAGCCCACUGCCUGUGGCCAGCCAGCCAGGGUCCUGGGUGGGGGCUGCCCCUGCCCCCGAGACACGGCUCCUCCCAGCAGCAGCC
rnacentral:lncRNA from 1 species